AUUAGGGUUGCACGUCCAAUGUCUUGUUAUACUAGUAUUCUUCUCCAAUAAAUAUUGACACACGUGUACAGGCUAAUGUAAACUUUUCAUUAUUAUAAUAACUGUGGCCUUAUCUCUACUUGCUUUUCUCUUGCAUACCAAUUCUUACGCUUACAAAUCGUAUCGACAGUUGACUUGAUCAUCAAAAUGUCAUCAAUCGUCG
rnacentral:lncRNA from 1 species